rnacentral:lncRNA from 1 species
AAGCACAAAGGUAAAUUUGUCGGGAUCAGAUGGUAGUCUUUCUGCGUUAACGAGUACUCCUCCAUAUUCAUCGUCAGAGGCAUCAAGUACCCAUUUAUCUCGAAAAUACAAACUUGUAUGGUUUGUACCGUUGAUCAAAUUAUUUGUGUUGGAUUUUUGAAUUUAUAAACCAAACCAAACCAAUAAAACUCGGGUUUUUGAACCUCGGGUUUUUUCGGUAAAGUGCAUACAAACAUAUAAUUUACUUGUACUUCAAAUAUUUCUUUAGUCCUAUCAAAAUACAACUAUCUAAGGUGUUUCUUAAGAAAAUAACACAAAUUAUGAUAUGAUUAAUGACACUAAAAAAUCCAACAAAAAAAUAAUAAUGAAAUUGCGUAAAACAAAUAUUGCAAAUUAAUAAGUCAUAAUGAAAAUCAUCAUAAUUUAAAAAUACUAAAUCAUGCCAAAAUAAAUUUAAUAAGUAUUAGUUACAUGGCUAAAUAUUAAAGGAAAUUAAAAGUAGAUUAUGUAUUUUAAUUGUCUAAACUUAUGUAAAACUAAAGAACAAAUAUUCAAUAUUAUUGUCAUUCUUAGUGUUGAAUUGAUUUUCUUUUUGCAUUAGUAUUAAUUUGAUUUUGAUUUAUGCUUAUUACAAUUACUAACAUCUAUGGACUAUAAUCUUUAUUUUAUAGAUAGAUUACUAACACCUAUGAACUAUAAUCUUUAUUGGACCAUUAGGAAUUCUAACUUUCAAACAUGAAAUAAUAUAUUAAAAGAUAAAAACUAUGAAAAAGUAUAAGAAAUAUUUAAAAAUUAUAUCAAAGUAAAUAUUUUUACGUAUAAAAUAAAAUUUUAAAAUUAUAUAUAUAAUGCCGGGUUGGCUUGAUCUCGGGUUGGUUUUUUUUAGUUGAUCUUACAUUGUGCACAUGCAUGAAUAUAAGAUUGAAUAUGAGUAAGGCUUGAGCACGUGGAGAUAGUCCAUGUUGCAAUGGUUUUAUGUUUAUGAGUGGGGCACGUGGAGAUCGUUUGUACCGGAUAUUGUUUGAUUUUGUGAUAGUACAUUGAGAUUAUCAGCACAAGCACGUAGAGACCGUCUGUGCUGGUAUAUGGACCUUUGCGAGUCCCCCAUGGGUCCCGAUUAUCUGACCAAGAAAGCUGCUGUGUAUAUAGGAUUUUGGCCAUUGUAUUGCAUUGCAUUUCGUAUUGAUUUGGUAUUGAGUUGUUGAGAUGGUUGUGGUACUGAUUUGACUUGAUCUAAUCCAAUCUAGCCAAUAACCUGACUAUUAACUCCUGAAGCGUCGGAGCGCUGUUGGGAACCAUAUGAGGUUGGGCUGGACCUCCUACCUCAGUCUACUGCUCAAUAACAUUGUCAUGCUCAAAUACGGGCUAUGCAUGCCAGCUGGUUUAACAUAGUAGGAACGGAAAAGGGGAAAAUUAGUGAUUUAGAAAUAAUCAUUUAAUAAUGUUUGAGAGAGCAUUCUGAUCAUCAGAAAUAUUUUUAUUUUUCUUUACCACAAGAAUUGUUCAAUGGAUAUACUUAUUAAUGUUGUAGGUAGCUUUGUUGUGAGGUGGGAAAGUUUGCGUGUAAAUGCAUUUAUCCUAAGAUUGAAAAUACAGUCCGUUUCUCAUCAAAUGUUGAAAAUUUAACGGAGGAAAUGGAGACGCUUACAAAGUUAAGAGAUGAUAUCAAAGUAAAGGUGGAAAUAGCUGAGGGAGAAGGCCGCUAUAAACCAAAACCAAAUGUUCUCGAGUGGAUCAAAGAUGUUGAGAAGCUGGGAAUGAAUGUGAAACUAUGAAAGAAAGUAUUGCAGCGGCUAAGACACUUACAUAUAAGUGUUGUCCAAAUUGCAACCUCCGAUCAGAAGUCUCCACUCAAUUAGCACAGAACAUCUGAGAUCAACUUUGCAGGCAUAAAGAGGUCGGAGAAAGCUUUGGAUCAAAUUUGAAGGUAGAAAAUUACCAAUUGAAAAAAGUUGAGUACUUACCAGGAACAUCAAUAAAAGACCAGCCAGCAGCAAGGAGGACUCAAUCAAUUACUCCAAUUCUUGGAAGAUGAUAAGGUAUUGCUGUCUUUACGGGGGUCUUAUUACCCCUUGAACUUUUUUUAUCUUUAUUUCUUUGCACCUUAUAUGUUGACGUAGAGCCAAAUGUGAAAACACUUACCUCAAGCAUGAACCUUAAAAGAACGGCUUUAACCAAUAUGAAAUGGCCACGUGUUGGUCGCAAAACUGAUUUUCAAGAACUAAAAAAAAAUGCAACUUUCUUCAUCUCAUUCAUUUUUGGGUCUCAAAAUUCCACAAAAAACUCAGACAGAUCUGUACUAAUCAAGCUAAUAUUUCAAUUACUACUUGACAACAAUAUCAUCACCCAACUCAAAUAGGACCAAUAUUAUUUAGAGCUUGUUUGACAUUGCUGUUGGGAUACCAAAAAUACUUAUUUCGAGAGAAAAAUAUUUUUUUAUAUAUAAAAUAAGGUGUUUGUGCAAUCAGUAAAAGUGUUUGUAUAUUGAAGCAGAAACAGUUUUUGUGCUGUUGGGAAGAAGCUAAAAAAAAUUUGCUUCUUUAAAAAGCAGAAGCAAAAAUAAUUUUUAGCAACAAUGUCAUACAAGCUCGUAAUCUUUCAUAUAUAAGCUAAAUUGUUUAGUGUUUACACUAAAUCAUCUAUUACUAUAAGUAAAUGAACAAAUAAAUAUAUGAUCCAUUUUAAAUCUUUAUUAAAAUUGAACACAAUAUCUAACCACCUAGUUAAUCAUAUAUUAUUAUUAUUAUUAUUAUUAUUAUUAAAAGUGAGAAGGUUUUAUGUUCAAAGUUGGAUUACGAUAAUGUACUUCACUAAUUUUUUUAAAAUUAGAAAUUCUUUUACUAACUCUUAAAAUUAAAUCAAUAUUGAUAAUUUUUCAUUUCUUAAUGACUUUGAUUGUUAAAAUUUUUAGCUUCUAUCAUUAAAUACAUUCAUUUACCACACACAAUUUCUCCAUUUAUUGGAUAGAAAAUAUUAGUCAACUACACUUUGUGUUUCAUAAUCUUAUAGUUCUUAUGUAACUUUUUAUUUAUUGGUCUUUAAUUUAUUUUUUUUAUUAAUUUGUUCCUUAGUUCAUUUUUAAUUUAAAUGAUUAUUGGAGUAUUUAUGUUCUAAGAAACCUCAAUCUUCGUGUAAUCAUUAAGAAGAAGAAAAAAAAGACACUUGGGGUUUAAUAUUUUGGAGUGAAAAUUCUAAUUGGUAGAAGUAUAGUUCUAAUUUUACAAGUUACUCACUAUCCAUAAAUAAAUAAAUAAAAGUUAGAAAUUCGAAGUCUAGAUAGAAAGUGAACACUGAAAAGAAUUUUUUUUAUAUGCACAAAAAUACAGCUACGAUUACUUCAGAUAGGGUAGAAUAAUUUUUUUUUAUCAACAGGAGUUAUGUCUAUAUAAAUUUUAUAUCGUAAUAAGGGUCAAACGUGCGGACCCACACCUUUAAAAGGGGUGCACGUGCACCCUCUAACUUCGGAAAAAAUAUUUUGAGAAACUGACAGAAAUUAUGAUAUAAUUAACCGUGCACCCUUGGAAAACAUAGGAGUGCCCUUAUGCUAUUGGUAUAAGCUAGAGAACCCACCCUUGAGACCAGGGUUCAAAUCGAGCUAAAGCUAUAGCAUAGUGGUACUUGGCCUAUCCAUUGUUGAAACAAAGCCUCCUACAUUCUUCUUUCUCUAAUGAUCAUUGUUGCAUCUUUCACUUCAGGUUUGCAUCAUCGGAGUGUGGGGUGCGGGAGGGAUUGGGAAAACUACUUUGGUAAAGAAUGUGAACAAUGAGCUCGAACAGAUUGAUGUGUCAAUUAGGUGUAAACUGUGUUUUGGUGUUGUGAUAUGGGUUACAGUACCGAAACCGCCAAUAGACAUAAGAAAGGUUCAAGCACAAAUUGCCGACAGAUUAAACGUAAAGGUAGAUACCGAGGGAAGUGAAGAAAGCAAUGCCAGCAAAAUCUAUGAAAGGCUUAAGCAGGAAAAGAGUUUCCUUGUCAUACUAGAUGAUGUUUGGGAAGUUAUAGAUUUGGAUCAUGUAGGUGUGCCCCAACCCAAAGAUCACGCAGGAAGCAACGUUAUUAUAACUUGUCGUUCUUUGGAGGUUUGUAGGAAAAUGAAAACAGACACCGAUAUGAACAUUUCCACAUUGGAUGAGGAUGAAUCUUGGCAACUGUUUGUCAAAAAUGCAGGAGAGAUGUUGCCAAUCGGGUGGAUAUUGAGCCAUUGGCAAUGGAUAUUGCAAGAGAGUGUGGUGGUUUACCAUUAGCAAUCACUAUUAUUGCAACAUGUAUGAGAGGGAAGUCAAGAGUCGAGCUGUGGGAAGAUGCUCUAAAAUCACUUAGAAUGUCUGAACCUUAUGACACACAUGUAAUACAAAAGGUUUACAAGAUCAUCAAGUUGAGUCUUGAUAAUUUAGAAUCUCGGAAUAGUGAAUUAUCGUCAGAGCAAAGAAGCAAUAUGAACAAAAGGAGAGGUGACAUUCAAAGUUGUUUCUUGUAUUGUUCUUUAUAUCCAGCGGCUGUUCCAACUGAUGAUCUCAUACAUUGCUGGUGGGUAGAGGGGUUCCUUGGUGAACAUGACACAUAUGAAAAGGCUUACAACAGGGGAAUCACAAUUAUUGAGAGUCUAAAAGAUGUCUCCUUGCUAGAAGCCCAUGAGAUGGAUUGUGUGAAGAUGCAUGACGUAGUUCGUGAUGUUGCUAUAUGGAUAGAUAAUUUCGGGUUAACUGACAUAUCACAUAUCGAAAUGUCAGCUCCUCCUGUGAAGAGAAUAUCUCUCCUAAGCAAAGAAUUUCAAAGUCUACCUGAAAACUUCAGAGAAUGCCCAGAGACAACAACUUUACUGUUGGUUAGAUUUAUGACAGCUAGGAUUAGAGCAGUCUCAAGAUAAUUAUUCUAGAAUCAGUUAGAAGGUUAGAUAGUUGUUAGAGUUAGUUAGCACAGUAACUUUCCUUUAUAUAGACAUAGCAUUGUAAAGAUAUUUUCUAAGAUGCUUUCAGCUUAAUGAGAAUGAGUUUUCUCUCUUCCAUAACUCUCUCUGUAUCUUCUUCUUCUUCUUCCUGAUCCUUUUGCAUCUUCUAGAUGAUGAUUACUCCAUAAGUUUACAUUUACUAUUGCAAGACAAUGCUCUCCUUAGCGAAAUUCCCCAUGAAUUCUCUUUUGCAUUUCCAGCUCUAAGAGUUGUGAAUCUGAGUCAUACUGGUAUUAAAGCACUGCCUUGUUCCAUCAAUAUUUUAUGUCAAUUACGUGCUCUAAUACUACGAAAAUGUUUGCAAUUUUGUUGAAAGAGUUACCACCAAUUGGUAAUCUUUGCAAUUUGCAGUUGCUCGAUUGUGAUAAUACAAGGUUACAUUUUCUGCCGCAAGGAAUGGAUAAGUUGACAAAUCUGAGGCUAGUAAAUAUGCCUUUAGAUGAUUUGAAGGAGAGCAUCGGUCCAGGUUUUUUCCUCGAGUUGCAUAGGAUUGAAAUGUUAAAGAUGGAUGGCAGAAAGCAUCAUAGUGUGGCUGUUGUUGGAGCAACGCCUUUUGAUGAGAUAUCGUCUCUACACAAUCUGACUUCUCUUUUUAUUCGAUUGGAUAGCUCAUCAAUUUUCAAUCGAGACUACACCUGGAUGUCUAGAUUGAAAAGUUUUCACAUUCAGAUUGGGGAAACUUCAGCGGAUGUACGAUUCAACAAGUCAACAAAGAGGAUAAGUGUCUCCCAUUGUGAAACUUUCAGUAAUGGAGAGCUCUCAGGCAUGUUACAGUUUGCUUCAGAUUUGUACUUGGCAAAAUGCGGGGGUCUCAGGAAGCUGAUUGUGAACAAGAAGAGUUUCAAUGGAUUAAAAAAACUCUACAUCGUCAAAUGUUGGUGUGAUUUCGGACCAUUGAAAGAAGGAAGUAGACAGUUUGAUCCUCUGCCAAAUCUUGAACAUCUCAGGCUCACUUCUGUAGAUCAUUUAAAGAGUGUUUCUGAUUUCAGUCAAUUUUUGGGUCUAAGAUUUUCUGAAUUACGCCAACUGGAUAUAUCCCAUUGUGAUAAUUUAACAUGUGUUUUUAAUGCUUUUUCUGUAACCAAGCACUUGGAAGAAAUUACAGUUAAGCGUUGUGAUCGGUUGGUAGAGUUAUUAGUGCAAUGCGGACCUAAUCAGAGGACACCAAGAGUCCGAAAGUUGUGGUUGAAUCAUCUAUUGAGAUUAGAAAUGUUUGGGGAGCCACAGAGUAUGUGGGAACAUCUUGAGGUGAUCGGAUGCUAUGAUAUAAGGAAGUUGCCUCAUUCAGGAAUGUUUUUCGUCUGGAAUGAGUCUGUAUCGAUGGGAUAAAGUUUAUUCCCGGACCAACGACACUAGGGGUGGACUUUCUUGGCGUGGAUAUUAUACUAACUGGAACAACAAUAUUGAGGACUGAGUCUUCAUCUUGAUCUCUGGUUCCGAUGUUUUGAUUGUACACUGAGUUGUUUCUUGUUUCAGUUGCGUUGUGUGAUAAUCUUGUUAAUUGUAAUAAACUGUUAUUGCUUUUGUACGUGUUGAAACAUUCAAAAUUUAUCUCAUGUUUUGUUCUCAUGACAAAAGAAGGAAAACUGAGAGAGAGAGAGAGAGAGAGGUUUUCUCGUGUUGUAAAAUGGUCCAUGGUAAACAACUGAAAACGUUGCUUGGAUACUUAUGGUUCGUGCUCUUAUAAGAUUUCUAAUAUAGCUCUUCCUAUCGAUAAAAAUGUGUUGUAAGAUAUUUACUUCAGUCAAAAGUACGUGACCAAAUGGUUGUGGUCGCAAUACCUCACCAGAUGGUAUAUUUUUCAUAGGCUGUCGUAGAAUAUUUCUCUUGCACGACAAGCACCCUAAAGCAGCAAAUUAAUUAGGCUAAUGUAAUAUGUGUUGGGUUUGUGUUCUUAAAAGAUUAAGCUUCAAAGAUUUAGAGGAAAAGUUGUCAUUAUGGGUGUGUUUGACUGUUUGGUAUGAAGGAAAACAUUUUUCGGAAAAUGUUUUCCAAUUUUUUCAUAUUUGGUUGGGUUAAAAUGUUUUGAAAAAAUGUUUUCCAAAUCAACUCAUUUUUCUCAAAAUUUAAGGAAAAAUGACUUCCCUUCAAAACUUAAGGAAAACAUUUUCCAAACUUCUCUUCCAACUUCAAAUUACAAUUACUUUUUGUUGAAAAAAUCAAUUUAUUUGUCCCUACCCUCAAACCAGCCCCCAACCACCCCCCCUCCCCAAAAAUAAUAAUUUUAAAGCUUGUUUUUAGAUUCAAUUUUUUUAUCCCACCUUCCACCCUACCCCCACCCCCUCCCAAAAAAAUAUUAAAAAUUGUUUUUAAANNNNNNNNNNNNNNNNNNNNNNNNNNNNNNNNNNNNNNNNNNNNNNNNNNNNNNNNNNNNNNNNNNNNNNNNNNNNNNNNNNNNNNNNNNNNNNNNNNNNNNNNNNNNNNNNNNNNNNNNNNNNNNNNNNNNNNNNNNNNNNNNNNNNNNNNNNNNNNNNNNNNNNNNNNNNNNNNNNNNNNNNNNNNNNNNNNNNNNNNNNNNNNNNNNNNNNNNNNNNNNNNNNNNNNNNNNNNNNNNNNNNNNNNNNNNNNNNNNNNNNNNNNNNNNNNNNNNNNNNNNNNNNNNNNNNNNNNNNNNNNNNNNNNNNNNNNNNNNNNNNNNNNNNNNNNNNNNNNNNNNNNNNNNNNNNNNNNNNNNNNNNNNNNNNNNNNNNNNNNNNNNNNNNNNNNNNNNNNNNNNNNNNNNNNNNNNNNNNNNNNNNNNNNNNNNNNNNNNNNNNNNNNNNNNNNNNNNNNNNNNNNNNNNNNNNNNNNNNNNNNNNNNNNNNNNNNNNNNNNNNNNNNNNNNNNNNNNNNNNNNNNNNNNNNNNNNNNNNNNNNNNNNNNNNNNNNNNNNNNNNNNNNNNNNNNNNNNNNNNNNNNNNNNNNNNNNNNNNNNNNNNNNNNNNNNNNNNNNNNNNNNNNNNNNNNNNNNNNNNNNNNNNNNNNNNNNNNNNNNNNNNNNNNNNNNNUUUUUAAAAACUAUUUUCAAUUUCAAAAAUUAUUUUCUACUCUAGUUAAAAUAAAAGAUACUUCUCAAAAAUAUUUUUCAUUCAUAAAUCAAACACUAAAAAUCUUUUCCGAAAAAUAUUUUCUACUCACCAACCAAACAUGAAAAAAUAAGUCAAAAAUCAACUUGUUUUCCAGGAAAACAUUUUCCUUCAUACCAAACACACCCUAUAUUUAACUGUAACACCAACACACAGGCAAAUUAUGAACCAUCAAAACUAGUCACUUCAUGUAUCCAUGCUUCAACAACCUCAACUUUCUAAAAUGCCAAACUCUUCUAUUUCAAUUCGUUUGCCUUGUUUUGACUUGACACAAAGUUUAAUUAAGCAAGCAAAUUAGUAAAAUAAAACAAAGCACUUUAGACUUUCACAAUUUGUUGUAUUGAAUAGAUGAUGGUUGUUGGCAAAUAGAGAAGCUCUUUGAGACAUCAAAAGACAACUUAUAAAUUGUGAAAACUGAACGAGUCCAAAUCGUUGACAUUUACCUACAGCUGUGAAGUUGAUCAUGUACUUAAUUAUUUUAAAUCAUGUUGCCUAGUUUUAUUAUUAUGUUAAUUAUUCGUUGACUUUUACCAAUAAUUUUAUUUACUUUCUCUGCCCUUAAACAAACAAGAAACAAUCAGCUUAGUUUCAUUUGCUAAUCUUUGAGAAUUUCUCUAUCAGAAACAUUUUCUUUACCAAUGGAAAUACUUGUUAAUGUUGUGGGUGGCUUUGUUGUUGAGGUCGGAAAGUUUGUACGUAAAUGCAUUUAUCCUAAGAUUGAAAAUAUUGUCCGUUUCUCGUCAAAAAUUGAAAAUAUAAGGCAGGAAAUGGAGAAGAUAACAAAGUUAAGAGAUGAUAUCAAAGGAAAGGUGGAAAAAGAUGAGGGAGAAGGCUAUAAACCAAAACCAGAUGUUAUCAAGUGAAUCGAGGAUGUUAGCGAGCUGGAGAAUGAAUGGGAAACUAUGCAAGAAAACAUUGCAACGGCUAAGACACUUACAUAUAGGUGUUGUCCCAAUUGCAGCCUCCGCUCUGAAGUCUGGACUCAAGCACAGAAUAGUAUCCAAGUUAAACUUUGCAGUCUUAAAAAUGACGGAGAAAGCUUUGGAUCCAAUUUGAUGGAAGAAAAUUACCGUAUGGAAAAAGUUGAGCACUUACCAGGACCAUCAAUAAAAGACCAGCCAGCCGCAAGAAGGAAUCUCCACAAAAUCCUCCAACACUUGGAAAACGAUGAGGUAUUACAAGAACUAAAUUAAGAUUAGUAAUCUUAAAUUGUUUAGAAUUUGGUAGCUGAUAAGGAGUGUCUCUCGAAUUUCGAUCAUAGGAGUAAUUGUGCCUUUUUCCUAAAUGAAAGUGUAAAAUUGCUUUUUAAUAGAAGCAAAACCAAUACUUCUGCUACUUGUUAGAGUUUUAUAUUAUUUUUUUGGAAACAUCUUUUUGGCUGGAAAAUUUGGCCAAGAAUGAUAUUUUAUCAGAUUGACAAUUUGUCUACUUAUAUUUUUUAUAAUAGAUAAAUCAUGUAUUAUGUGAAAUUAGAAUUAACAAGUUUUGUUAGACAUACAUAAAUAAUAAAAUGAAAUAUAAAUUAGAAGAAAUCUCCUAUAUAAUUUAAUCUGUUAGAAGUGGUUAUGAUUUAAAACUCAAGUCAAACACUUUCACCUUUACUGAAUAAAUUUUUAUCUCAUGUUCAAUUUCUAAAUUUAUUUUUUAAUUCAAAUUCAAAAAGUAAUUUUCAGUAUGAAUCAAAAAUAAAAAGUACGAUCAUUAAUUCAUUGUAUGAUUAUUUUGUGUGUGUGUGUGUAACUUGAGUACAUCAUACUUAAUUAUACUCUAAGCUAUAAUAUUUUUAAAAAUGUUUUUAAAAUUAUGUUUUAAUAUUCAUUAGUGUGGCUUACUCACAUAAAAUUAUAUUGCUUUAUCUUUUAAAUUAUUUAUUUCCUUUUUUUUUUUUAUCUUAAGAAACACUCAAGAAGGAAUGUAGAAAUAACACUUGUUGUUGGUAUAAGAUAAAGGAUACACAAAAUCAUAUAAAAUUUAAAAUUUGGCCACAUAAAUCAUAAAAAUAUCAAAUUUAUACUUGAUAUUUGGAGAUAACUACACUAUUUUCCCGAGAAGAAUGAGGAAACUAAUUUUUUAAUUUAUUUCCCUCCAUUUUUUGAGAGAAUUCUAGCCAACAUAAUAUUAUAUAUAUAUAUAUAUACCAUUAAUCAGAUGAUUUUUAUUAAGGGAGAUUUAAAUAUAGAUAUACGUAUUUCUUUAAAUUUUAGCAUGAUAAUUACAUAUAUAUAUUUAUUCAAAUAUGGAUAUAUCAUAUAUGUAUUUCUUUAAAUUUAUUUUGCUUGAUAUGCUAAAUUAUAUUUAAAUCAUUGUAUUAAUAUUAUGUCAAUAUUAAUUUAUUUUUCUAUUCAUCUAGGUAUACUAUUGAUUGAAAAUUUGAAUAUGUACAUUUUAAUUUAAUAAAAAAAAUUUAAUUAAAAAUAUUUUAUAAUAGAUAUUUAAAAUAAAUUUUCUCUAUAAGAUAAUAUUAUGUAUAUUUUUUUCCUAUUAUAAAUAAGUGGAAAUUAAUCUUUUAAUUUGACAAUUGCUGAAACAAAGCCUCCUAGAAUCCUUCUUUCUCUAAUUUCUUGUAUAUUACCAACCAUUGUUGCAUGUUUCACUUGUGGGUUAAUUAUUCUUUUGGGUAUGUCAGGUUGGCAUCAUCGGAGUGUGGGGUGCAGGAGGAAUUGGGAAAACUACUUUGGUGAAGAAUUUGAACAAUGAGCUUAAACAGAUUGACGUGUCAAUUAGGUCUAAACUGUCUUUUGGUGUUGUGAUAUGGGUUACAGUACCCAAACCGCCAAUAGACAUAAGAAAGGUUCAAGCACAAAUUGCCGACAGAUUAAACGUAAAGGUAGAUACCGAGGGAAGUGAAGAAAGCAAUGCCAGCAAAAUCUAUGAAAGGCUUAAGCAGGAAAAGAGUUUCCUUGUCAUACUAGAUGAUGUUUGGGAAGCUAUAGAUUUGGAUAAGGUAGGUGUGCCCCAACCAAAAGAUCACGCAGGAAGCAAGGUUAUUAUAACUUCUCGUUUUUUGGAUGUUUGUAACCAAAUGAAAAUUGACACCGAAAUGAAGGUUUACACAUUGAAGGAGAAUGAAUCUUGGGCUCUGUUUAUCAAAAAUGUGGGAGAUAUUGCCAAUCGGAAGGAUAUUCAGCCAUUGGCAAUGGAAAUUGCAAGAGAGUGUGGUGGUUUACCUUUAGCAAUCACUGUUAUUGGAGCAUCUCUAAGAGGGAAGAACAUGGCCGAGCAAUGGGUAACAAAGAAGUAGAAAAAAAGGUUUACAACGUCAUCAAGUGGAGUUUUGAUUCUGUAGAAUCUCAGGAUGAUAUUGAAUUAUCCUCAGAGCAUGAGAACAAAAAGAGAGGUGACAUUCGAAGUUGUUUCUUGUAUUGCUCCUUAUAUCCAGCGUCUAUUCCAACAAAUGAUCUCAUACAUUGCUGGUGGGCAGAGGGGUUCCUUGGUGAACAUGACACAUAUGAAAAAGCUUACAACAGGGGAAUCACAAUUAUUGAGGAACUAAAAAAUGUCUGCUUACUAGAAGAAACCCAUUUGAAGGAUUAUGUGAAGAUGCAUGAUGUGGUUCGUGAUGUUGCUAAAUGGAUAUAUAAUACCUUUGGGGAUGAACACAGUUCUGUUAUUCAAGCUGGAAUUGAGUUAAUUAAGAUUUCAAAUGUGGAAGUAGUGUCAGCUUCUAUCAAGAGAUUAUCUUUCAUAACCCAAGGAAUUCAAUAUCUACCUGAUAACUUCACGGAAUGCCCAAAGACAACAUCUUUACUUUUGCAACGCAAUGAAUCCCUUGUGAAAAUUCCCGAUAAAUUCUUUUGUCAUUUCCAGUUCUAAGAGUUCUGAACCUGAGUUAUACUGGUAUUAGAGCACUGCCUUGUUCCAUCAACGAGUUACGUCAACUACAUGCUCUAAUACUACAAAAUUGCCGCAUGUUGAAAGAGUUACCAUCUAUUGGUAAUCUUUGCAAUUUGCAAUUGCUUGAUUGUGAUAGUACAAGGUUAUGUUGUCUGCCGGAAGGAAUGGACAAGUUGACAAAUCUGAGGCUAUUAAAUAUGACUUUAGGUGGGUUGACGGAGAGCAUCGACCUGGGGGUUCUCCACGAGUUGCAAAGGCUUGAAACGUUACAUCUAACCAUAAGCUGUAGAUAUAUAGAUGAUGUUGGAGCAACUUAUUUUGAUGAGAUAUCACAUCUACCCAAUCUGACAUCACUUUUUAUUUACUUGGAUAUCUCAUCAAUUUCAAUUUUGAAAAGUGACCAGUACACCUGGAUGAAAAGAUUGAAAGCAUUACACAUUACAGUUGGGAAUACUACAACUCAUUAUGAGGUACCAUUCAACAAGUCAACAAAGGUGAUAUGCCUCUCAGGUUUUGACAUUUUCAAUAACAAAGUCUGGCUCUCAAGCAUGUUGCAGUUUGCUUCAUAUUUGUACUUGGAAGAAUGCAUGGGUCUCACGGAGUUCAUUCGGAACAACAGUUUUGAUGGAUUAAAAUCACUAUACAUAAACAAAUGCUCUUGUGAUUUUGGACCAUCGAUAGAAGGAAGUGGACAGUUUGAUGAUCCUUUGCCAAAUCUGGAGCAACUCAUACUCUUUUCUGUAUAUAAUUUAAAGAGUGUUUCUGAUUUCGGUCAUUGUCUGGGUCUAAGAUUUUCUAAAUUACGAAAACUGGUUGUGUUCAGUUGUCAUAAUUUAACAUGUCUUUUUAAUGUUGGUGGAGCUUUUUCUGUACCCAGGCACUUGGAAGAAAUUUCACUUUCCUAUUGUAAUUCUAAGCUGACAGAGUUACUGGCACAAUUCAGCUCAAGUCAGACGACACUCGUUAGCUCAGAAAUUCCAAGAGUCCGAAAGUUACACUUGCAUUAUUUACAGGCAUUAAGAACGUUUGGGGAGCCAGAGAGUAUGUGGGAACACCUGGAGGAACUUGAGGUGAGGAAUUGCAAUGAAAUAAGGAAGCUGCCUCUCUCUAUUCAAACCUCCAACAAAAUCAAAGAAAUAGGAGGCCAAUCAGAAUGGAGGAACCGCCUGGAGUGGGAUGAAGAAAAAUACAAGUCAAAUUUAGAGCAUUGUUUCAAGGAAUACGCCGAAUGGUGGAAGAUUGCUAUGAAUUAAGGAAGUUGCCUCUCUCUAUUCAAACCUCCAACAACAUCAAACUAAUAACAGGAUCAUCAAGAUGGUGGAGACAACUGGAGUGGGAUGACAACAACUACAAGUCAAAUUUACAGCAUUGUUUCAAGGAAUACCUCUCUUUUUUUGGGUAAGAUGGGUUAGCAACUUUUUUCCCUUUCCUUAAUUAAUAUUUUAGAAAAUAAAUUGUAUCCUAAUAUAAUUAAUUUAUUUUUUUGCAAUGGAAUAAGGAACUUGCCUCUCUCUAUUCAAAUCUCCAACAACAUCGAACUAAUAAGCGGAGAAUCAGAAUGGUGGAGCCGCCUGUAGUGGGAUGACGACAACUACAAGUCAAAUUUAGAGCAUUGUUUCACUGACAUAUAUAUAAAAGUAAAAGUAUGAAGGCCCAUGGUAGCUGAAAUUGGACGUGUGAGUUUAUUUUAUUAUGAGAGAACAUAAUAUUUCAGAUUUGACUUCUAGGAUUGGGGUGGACUUUUUUAUUUGAUUGUCAUCAAGCCAAAAAUAAAUAUAGCAAUAUAAAUGUCAUUAGAUUCAUAUUCUUAUGAGAAGUAUGUAUAAUUUGAAAUAGGGGUGUACAUGACUGGGUUGGUUCGAAUUUUUCAAAUAUCAAACCAAACCAUUUGUGUCGUAAUUUUGAAUUUAUAAACCAAACCAAAUCAAUAAAACUCGGAUUUUUGAACCUCGGGUUUUUUCGGGUUUUUCUGGUAAAGUGUUCAUACAAACAUAUAAUUUACUUUUACUUCAAACAUUUCUUUAGUUCUACCAAAAUACAACUAUCUAAGGUGUUUCUUAAGAAAAUAACACAAAAUAUGAUGUGAUUAAUGACACUAAAAAAACCCAACAAAAAUAUAAUAAUGAAAUCGUGUAAAACAAAUAUUACAUUAAAAUUAGAUUAUGUAUUUUAAUUGUCUAAACCUAUUCUAAACUAAAGAACAAAUAUUCAAUAUUAUUGUCAUUCUUAGUGUUGAAUUGAUUUUAUUUUUGCAUUAGUAUUAAUUUGAUUUUGAUUUAAGCUUUAUUAUAACUAGUAUACGUGCCCGCGUGUUGCACGGAUAAUUUAAAAUGUGAUAAUUUUAUACUUAAAUAUAACUAAUAAAAUGUAUUAUGCACUUAAUAAUACCAAUAACUUAAAAUAACAAUGACAAUGAUAAUUUAAAAUGUGAUAAUUUUAUACUUAAAUAUAACUAAUAAAAUGUAUUAUGCACUUAAUAAUACCAAUAACUUAAAAUUACAAUGACAAAUAAUUUUAUCCUAAAAAUGACACGUGGUUUUUUGUGAUGCAUGUAGAUUUUUAAUUAAUAAUUAAUAUUUAAUUUUUUUAUUUUAAUGAUAGUAUAUUAGUAUAAUAUUCUUAAAAAAACACAAAUUUAAUUGACAAAUCUUUUUAUUUAAACCUCCCAACUUUCACUCAGAAAACUGAAAAAAAAAACAAAAAUAUGAAUGUCAUUCCUGACGAAAUCGAUGCAAAUUAUUAUUUUUUGUAACAACUUCAACUAUUUCAGAGAUGCUAACGGAUCAUAAUUAGAGGCAUUAUACUUAUCUUAUUCAGAUAUUCAACUUAAAUAAAAUAUUCAUUAUCCUUUAUCUUUCUAAUAUACCAAAUAUCAAAUGCAUCAAAACUUACAUUUAUUUUUCUAAUUCUCUAAAAAAUUCACCACGAUACAUAAACUUAAAGGAUGUUUUUACUUUCAUGGGCCAUUUACUCCUAUUUUUUCUUUAUCUCAAUAUCGAGCAAAAAUCUGACGGUAUAAUAUAAUUAUUAAAAGUCGAUAAAAAAUAUAGAUACAAAAAAAUAUAUAGGAGGAUAAGAAGAGAUUCGUCUUAUUUUUUAAAAUGUGGGAAGAUUUUUUUUUUUAAAAAAAAGGGUAAAGUUAUCUUCUUCUUUUUUUUGUUGUUUUAAAAAUGAAAAUAUUUUCAGAUUUAAAAAGAUUUUCAGAUUUAAAAUAUUUUAAAUUUCAGAUUGUAAAUUAACUUUGUUAAUUGAAUAUGAGUUAUGUUUUAAAAAACUCCAUCGUGCAUAAGUAUUCUUCUCCUUUAAACAUAUUUUAAGAUUUAAAUUGUUUUUAAUUUUUAAUUUCAGAUUUUAAAUUAAUUUUGUUGAUUACUUAGUUAAUAUUAUUUUUUGUUCCUUUUCUGUUUUUAAUUUAAGUAUUUCCUUACUAAAUUAUUUUAUAUAAAUAUUUCUCCUAUUAUGUAUUAAAUUUUUUCCUUUCCUGACAUAGAAUUUAUGGCCCUAACAUUAACAUCCUUGUUUAUCUUCUUCAUUGCUAAUAACACCCUAUUUUCAAUUCACUGAUAACCAUCCGAAACAUAACAUUUUAGAAUUUCAAAAUAUUUGUAAUAUAAAAAGUAAGUUUUUCGUGAAAAGAAUUCUUUCAAAGAAGCAUAACUUAUCAUCAGACCAAUAAUUGUACCAGUAUUGUAUUAUUUGAUUGGAUAUUGACAUAUAUAGAAAAUCUCUUUCACUAAUGGAGGAAUGAUCCCUCCUUGAAUGUGUCUUAAUUUGAUAUUUUAGAGGACAAUCAAAUUGGUGGAGUAAAUUGGAGUGGGAUGACGACAACUACAAGUCAAAUUUAGAGCAUUGUUUCACUGACAUACUAAGGUGUGGACGCUCAUUUUAGCUAAACUUCAAAAGUGUGAGUUUAUUUUAUUAUGAGUGAACAUAAUAUUUCAGAAUUGACUUCUAGGGUUGGGGUGGACUUUUUUAUUUGAUUGCCGCCAAGCCAAAAAUAAACAUAGCAAUAUAAAUGUCAUUAGAUUCAUAUUCUUAUGAGAAGUAUGUAUUAUUUGAAUAAAUUUUAUUAUUCAGAAGCAUCGUGGAAGGGCAAAUUCACAAUUUGGCAUUUGGGCUUCUGUUUGAGGCAACUAAUUAAAGAUGGGAAAAUUUUCAAAUGGACAAUAUUUUGACAUUUAAUAUGAUUUCUUAGCCAUACUUUCAAUAUUUAUUUAAAAUGUCAAUAUUUUAAUUUGUUAUAUAUCUGAUUUAUAUAUUUUCUUAUUUGUUUGAUUUGUAGAAUUCAAUUAUUUAAUAACAUAAAGGAGAGAAUCAGGGAGAUAAUAUUUUUUAAAAAUUGAACAUAUAACUUAAAAUUUUCAUCAGUUACAAUUUCAACGAAAUCAACUUUCUUUUUUAUUAUGUUUUCAUCGUAAUUGUAUACAAAAAAAUUUACAUUUUAUGUGCCAACUUUACCAUUCAAAUUAAAAUUGGUAUUUUACUUUCAUAGUGAAAACUACAAAUUGUAUCCCAGUGAUCAAAAUUAUAUUACAUGAUUGCCAAAUAUAUUUUUCUUUAUUUGUAUUAAAAAAAUAUUAUUGAUUGUAUCACAAUAUAAUAUAAUCAUUACAUAUGAAUAUGAUUUAUGAAAGGAUACAAAAUUAUGGGGAAAAAAUAGCAUAUAUAGUGGAAAUAAUACAGUAUGUUGAGAAAGAAUACAAUAUUCUAAAAAUAUAUAUAUAAAUUGACGAGCUAAUGGUCAAAUGACCUCUCAACCUAUUACCGGAUUUUCAACUACACACCUAUUCUUCGUGGGAGUCCUAUUACCCUCUAAACUACUUUAAAAUGGAAUAAAUAACCCCUUAAGUGCUGAGUUGGCAUAGAGAAUGUAUGUCACUCUCUCAAUGAGUUGCCUAUUUUUUUCUUAAUUUCUGUUUUUUUUUUCUACUUUUCUUUUUCUUUCUCCUUUUUUCUUCUUAUUUAUCUAUAUAACUAUAUCUUUUUCGCCAUUAUCAUUGUUUAAGUUUUUUCAAUAGAUGUUUGGUAUAAAAAUUAUCAACAACUAAUGCAUUUUAUGAAUAAAUAAUUUUUCAAUAGACUUAUUUAGAACAUAUCUAACAAUUUAAAUUUAUUUUUAAAAAACAUACACAUUAAUUAAUAUUUUUUUAAAAGUCAUGGACUCAAGAGUAACAAAAUCAAAGUGAAGUAAUUGUAUAUUUAAAAAAUAUCUUCAAACUUAUUAAAAGAAACUAAAACAAAACAAUUUCUUCUACAUUUUUAAAGAAGGAUCCUACAUGUCCUCCUAAAACCCAUGAAGAAUGAAAAUCAAAAACUCAAAUUAUAAAUUAAUCAUGAAAAUUUUAGAGAGAGAAAGAAUAAAGAAUGGGGAAGAGAAAAGGUGACUUGAAUUUUCGUUUUUAUAAAUUUUUAGAGAUAUAGAAAUUUAUUGAGAUAAAAAAUGGUGUUUAUUAUAGUUAGGGUUGAAAAAAUGAUUGGGGAAGGAGUACUUUAAAAAAAAAAAAAUUAAAUGGUGAAAUACACGUGUCAAGUGCGUGUUUUCAUCACAAGACACAUACCUGGUAAAGAUAUUUCAGGGAGAAAAUAAUUCCACUUUAAAAUAGCUCAGAGGGGUAAUAGAACUCCCGUGAAGUAUAAGUGUGUAGUUAAAAAUUCGAUCAUUUGGCAAUUUUCUCUAAAUUGACUAUGAAAGAAAUAGAGAUACAAUAUUCUGGAAAAAAAUAACAUACAUAGUGAAAAUAAUAUUGUUUUACUCAAAAAAAUAAAAAUAAUUAGGAGGUGGUUUUUAGAAAAAUCGACUAAACUUAUGACUUAAGGGAAAUCGAAUUUCCAAAAGAACAGAGUCACCACUAAAUUUUUUAGUAAAAAGUAAGAAAAAACUUAAGGUUUUCAAAAGAUUUAAACAGAUAAAAUCAAUUUCAAAUAAAAAGAAUUCGAAUUCAAUGUACAUUCCGAGAGGUGUUAGGCCCUCGGUUGACCGGCGAUUUAACUAAAAUGAUUUUGACUAAUUUUUUUAAAAUUUAACUAAGUAUAAAAAAGAAGAUAAUUUUAAGUUGUUACUUUUAAGGGAAAGAUGACAUUAUUCUUAUUAAGAAAAAAUAAAUUAAAUGUAACUAAAUAUAUAAAAAUAAGUAAAUAGUAGAUGCUUCAAAAAAUAAGAAAGGGUAUCUUGGGGAACUUGAUUAAAUUUAACCAUAAAAAAAGCAAAUAAAGUUAGUUAAUCGAUAACAUAAAUAAUAAUAAAGAAAGAAGGAACAAUUGGACUUGGGUCUUUUGCCCAAAUCCAAAUGAAUUGGGCUAUGGCCCACCUGUCCUGACUCUAAAGAAUCUGGUAUGCUUUAGAUGUAUACUGCUGUAUAGUGGCUGUAUCUCGGCCCAUUUUGUGUAUAUGGGCUGUAUACCAAACGUAUACAGCCUACUUCAAACUCCAGCACCUGUAUCCUGCACCUGUAUUUCAAUUUUUGGACCUAUAUAUCAAUAUUCUCCAUGUAUACUAGUGUAUACUGAUGUAUACAAGUGUAUACUACUGUAUACAGCCCCUUUUCGGGAUUUUCGAGACUGUUAUUUUGCUUCCGAGACCUGUACGCCAGCUUCCUUUUCACCGCAAAGAUGAGGAUGACUCGAAAGACUAAAAAAUACGCAAGGGUGGAGUCCGAAUAGACUCGAGUUGAUGUCAUAUGUAACAAAAGAAAGGGAGAAAAUUAGUAGAAUAACCUGAAAAUAAAAGAAGAAACAAUUGAGCACCAUUUACAACAAAAUAUUGAACUUAACUUAAAUGAUCCUUAACUAACCAACUAGGAGAUAGAAACUACAAAUAUGAUCAAUUUUGAAAAGCUACAAACAAAUGAAAACAAGUCACAUAACUCCUUGAGGACCCACAAAUGACAAGUUAAUAAGAAAGAUAAUCACACUUAAAGAAUUCAUCAAAUUCAAUUAUCAAAGGACAUGCUACAGGGAAUACUAUGCUACUGUUUUCAGAUUUUACAAAGUUACUCUUUCUACUAAAAGAGAUGCCACAACUACUCUUCUCAAAGAAAAUGAAACUCUAGAUAUUGUAUUAAAUCAUGAUCAUUUUUAUCAUUUUUGGAAUAAAAUCUAAACCCAUUGUAUUGCAUCGGUUUACGAAAAUUGAGGAAAGGUUGUAUUCAUAUCCAAGUAAACAAAGGAACGGUAUUACUCCUAAUGGUUACUGAGGCAAACUAUGAGAAAAUCAUGAUAAAUGAAUGACUAUACAUUCAUACUUCAUAUAUUCACAAGCUACCGGAAUACUGAAAAAUUAAUGAGCACAAAUGCUAGGAUUGAUAAGAGUUCAUACGACCAAAUAACAUAAACCGAAACUCAAAGCAAUUUUUAUUACAUUAGCUAAAAUUUGUUUAAAAGAUACCAAGCAAAAGGCUAAAGCUAAACAAUACACAACAAGGACUAAAGCCAAACCGUCCCCAACAAAACAUGUCGAAACACCCAGAUUAUGAUUUUCAUGCUUGAGCUCAAUCAAAGAACCUAAUGGGUUAUCCAAAAGCUGGACCUAGAUUUUAAAAUAGAAGCUGUCAUGUUGAACAUGGACGGGCAGAACCUUAUACGAGCAUGAAAAUUGGACGAAACUAUGGAUCCACGACACACCUCAAUCUGAACUCUUUGCAGCGAACAACCAGUAACUCAAAUUGACAAUAGUAUGAACAAGAACUAUAGCGUACUUGAUCAACACAACUAUCCAACAGAAUGUUCAAGCAAGGUAAUAAAAAAUAUUGGCCAGCCGGCCCAAAGUAAAAACUCGACUCAAGAGUCCAACAACUUCAUUUAGUAUCAAGAUAAAAUCACAACGAGCAAUCGAUUCAAACAACCCAUAACGAUCCAAUUAUAAGGUAAGAAACUAAGCCACGAAAUAAGAAUGGAAACAAAUUACCUUCUUCAGAGCAGCGAAUGGGACGAAUCAGCUUGAAGGAGCUUUCCAACCACCACACGAGCAGGGGCGGACCCACGUUGGUUCCAGGGGGUUCACCCGAACCCCCUCGGCAAAAAAUUACACUAUAUAUAUAAGGUAAUUUUCUGUAUUUAUGUGAAUAUAUAUAUAUAUUUUGAACCCCCUCAAUGACAAGGAGAAAGAGAUAGCCUAGUGGCAUUUUCCCUGAAAAUUAAGCCUCAUGUUGAGGGUUCGAAUCCCUGCAUUAGCGUUUUAUUUUUUUCUUUAUCAGUUUCAGUUUUUUUUUUUUUUUUUUUUUUAAGGUUUCAGUUCCGUUUUCACGUUUUUUUUAGUUUUUUAUUUUAUAAAACAUGCUAAAAGUGUGGUUUUAAACCCAAAAAAAUUCAAAGGUCCACCACUAAAACUAAAUACUACUACUUUCUUGAAAUUUUGUUUUGUUGGCUUAUAUAUACACAUUUAUACUUUUAUUUUUCAAACCCCUUGAACGAAAAUUCUGGGUCCGCCACUGCACACGAGGGAUUCCAGUGGAAAUCCAAGUUCCGAAACAGCAAACUAGCUAUAAAUCCAAUCUCCAAAAACCCUCUCUAACACUUGACUGUAAAUGGCUAUUUAUAGGGAAGAUUGGGCAGAUUUAGAGGGGAAAACGGGAGGGAUUUUUGGAAUUUGAAAUUCGAAAUUCAAAUUCUCUUAUGAGAUAAGGUUGCCAGCUCAAUUGUACCAAUUCAAACGGUAAGAAAAUCGCAGCCGUUUCAUCUAGAGAGGAAGGAUGAACGAGCUACAAGAUUGUAACACCUGGAAAAAUCGAGUACAAGCGGAUAAGGGAGAGAGAGAGAGAGGACUACACGCACUGCUCGCUGGACUCGGACACGCUGGAUUUCUGAUUUCUGCUGGAGUUUGCGUGAAGAAGAAGAAGCGUUGUACCGGGUCGUCUGGUUUUGUUCUGUACGCGUCUGGUUGUAUUGAACUGAUGGGUUUUUGGUAUUGAUUUGGGUUGCUGAAUGUAUUGUUAAUUUUUGGGCUGAACUGAUUUAAGUGAAAGGCCCAAGUCUUGCAAAUUGAGUUGGUGAGGAAAUAAAUCGCUAAAAUUGCAAUAAAGGGUUAGGCAAAUGAAAUACAAUCUAGCCAAAUUGAAUUCUUUUAGUUAAUUCGGCUAAGUAAUUAAAUAAGAUGAAUUAAUAUAAUUAACUAACGAGCUUCUUAAUCUCAACAAAAUAAAAUAAUUAACUCAAUUAUAAACUAAUAACUCGAAAUUAUAACUAUAACUUAAAGUAAAUUAAUAAAAUAUUUAACAAAAAUGUAAAAUCUUUUGUGAUGAUUUUCAAACAUUUAUAAAAUAACGUGAUUGUAAAAAUAUACAUAUUUAUUAUUUAAAAUGACAAAAUUACUUUUUUAAAAAAUAACUUGGAAGUAUUUUGAAUUUCCUGAAACUCAUUAAUUCAAAAUUAUAACCAUCACUAAUAAAAUAUAAAAUCUUUUUGAGACGAUUUUUGAAUAUUCAUGAAAUACAUUAAUUAUAUAUAUAAUUAUAUAAAACAUAUAUAUUAUUUAAAAAUUAUUUAAAAAAUGACGAAACUAUUUAAGAUAACUUGCAAACUAUAUUUAUUUAUUUUCUUGAAAUUUUUAUAAAACUAAAAUUUUUAAAUCAUUUGAAAAUUGGAGAAGCUCAAUGAUUAAUUUAUAUUGUGGAGGGUCAAAAUUGGGUGUCAACAAAUACAAAUUGUUGAGGAAGGAUACAAUAUUCUUAAAAAAAAUACAAAUUGGCUGUGAAAAAAUAGGAUACAUCUAUGGUUAAGAAAUAUAAAUCAAUUUGACUUACCUAUUUGAAUGACUACAAACUAAAGAAGAAAUACAAUGUUCUUAAUAAAAAUACAAAUGUUGAGUAAAAGAAAAACAAUUGAUAAACAAAAAUUAAUAUGAAUACAAUCAUGCUAUGAAUACAAUUCAAAUUUCUUCUCUCCCUUUGUCUUUCUUCUUCUUCUUUGUCUGCUAUGUUCCUCCUUUUUCUGAUUUUUUUUCAUCAAAACCAAAUCCAAAUUCGUAUUCACUUGUGCAUAUAUUAGUAACCCUAUAAGUAAAAUUCGAAAUUAUUAAUUAUGAAUGUAUAAAAAAUCAAACAAUAUGUGUUGUAUGAAUGUUAAUGUAGAUUAUUACAAUCUAUUAAAUCUCAAAUAUAAAAACAAAAUCACAAAAAAAUUGAACAAUAGAGUUUAAAAAAUGAAAAAUCCGAAAUACAUAGAAGAGGGAAAUCUCAUAAACUACUUGGUGAAUAUGAAAACCUCACAAAAAAUGAAACAAUACUGUUUAAAUACGGAAAAUCCGAAAUACAAAAUACUUUAUAAUUAUGAAAACAAAAUCACAAGAAAUCUCACAAAAUACUUGUUGACUUCGAAUUUACCUUAAUCAAUGGUUGAAUUUUUAAAAAAAAUUAAUUGUGAGAUUUCUUAAACAAAGUGUAGGAAAUAGGAAGAGUUGAUUUUCUUGAAAAGGAAAAGAGAUAACAAAGGUGAAAAAGGGAAGAGAGAGAAAAGAACAAUUUGGGGUAAAACCUAGAAAGAGGGGAAAGUGGGUAAUGAGGGUGUUUUAUUUUUUAUUUUUUUACGGAUGAUGGAGUAAAAAAAGGGUAUUUGAGCCUGAUUUGAGAAAUAAAAGGAAAAUAAAUUAUUAUAUUAGGAUAUAAUUUAUUUUGUAAAAUAUUGACAUAUUGACAUUUUUAAUAAUUAUUUUAAAAUGUAGAUGUUUUUAAUAAUUAUGUUAGGGAAUGUGACUAGUUUGCUAAUUUUCCCUUAAAUCUAAGGAUAAUUGGUAAUAAAGGGGUACCACGUAAAUGAGAUAACAAACAUUUAUGCCGGUACCGUGUAAAUGAGAUAACGAGCAUUUAUAUGGAUACCAGAGUCAUGAAAUUGAUAGUACUCCUUGAGAUAACGUAAAUAUUGAGACUUUUGAAUUUUGUGAACUUGGUUACUUUUUGUGUGUUUAAUAUUUUCUUCAUGAGCUCAUAUAUGUUGCGAUGAGAUGAAUAUAUUUGAUUGAAAUGAGAUGCAUCAUCAUCUCCUAAUCAAUUGAUAUUAUAUUGUGCACAUGCAUGAAUAUAAGAUUGAAUAUGAGUAAGGCUUGAGCACGUCGAGAUAGUCCAUGUUGCAAUGGUUUUAUGUUUAUGAGUGGGGUACGUGGAGAUCGUUUGUGUCGAAGAUUGUUUGAUUUUGUGAUAGUACAUUGAGAUCAUCCGCACAAGCACGUAGAGACCGUCUGUGCUAGUAUAUGGACCUUUGCGAGUCCCUCAUCGGUCCCGAUUAUUUGACCGAGAAAGCGGCUGUGUAUAUAGGAUUUUGGCCAUUGUAUUGCAUUGCAUUUAGUAUUGAUUUGGUAUUGAGAUGAUUGUGGUAUUGAUUUGACUUGAUCUAAUACAACUUAGCCAAUAACCUGACUAUUAACUCCUGAAGCAUCAGAGCGUUGUUGGGAACCACAUGAGGUUGGGCUGGACCCCCCACCUCAGUCUGCUGCUCAAUAACAUUAUAAUGCCCAAAUACGGGCUAAGGAGUUCAAUGCUUCAACUAUUUCAGAGAAGCUAACGGAUCAUAGUUAGAGGCAAUGUACUUAUUUUAUUCAGAUAUUCAACUUAAAUAAAAUAUUCAUUAUACUUUAUCUUUCUAAUAUACCAAAUAUCAAAUACAUCAAAACAUACAUUUAUUUUUCUAAUUCUCUAAAAAAUUUCACCACAUUACAUAAACUUAAAGGAUGCUUUUCACUUUCAUGGGCCACUUACUCCUAUUUUUUCUUUAUCUCAACAUCGAGCAAAAAUCUAAUGGUAUAAUAUAAUUAUUAAAAGUCGAUAAAAAAUUAAAAACAAUAGAUACAAAAAUAUAUAGGAGGAAAAGAAGAAGAGAUUCGUCUUAUAUUUUAAAACGUGGCAAGAUUAUUUUUUUUUUAAAAAAAUGGUAAAGUUAUCUUCUUCUUUUUUUGUUGUUUAAAAUGAAAAUAUUUUCAGAUUUAAAAAGAUUUAAAUUUUCAGAUUAUAAAUUAACUUUGUUAAUUGAAUAUGAAUUAUGUUUUAGAAAACUCCAUCGUGCAUAAGUAUUCUUCUCCUUUAAACAGAUUUUAAGAUUUAAAUUGUUUUUAAUUUUUAAUUUCAGAUUUUAAAUUAAUUUUGUUGAUUACUUAGUUAAUAUUAUUUUUUGUUCCUUUUCUGAUUUUAAUUUAAGUAUUUCCUUACUAAAUUAUUUAUAUAAAUAUUUCUCCUAGUAUAUAUUUAAUUUUUUCCUUUCCUGACAUAGAAUUUGUGGCCUUGACAUCAACAUCCUUGUUUUAUCUUCUUCAUUGCUAAUAACACCCUAUUUUCAAUUCACUGAUAACCAUCCGAAACAUAACAUUUUAGAAUUUCAAAAUAUUUGUAAUAUAAAAAGUAAAUUUUUUUGUGAAAAGAAUUCUUUCAAAGUAGCAUAACUAAUUACCAUCAGACCAAUAAUUGUACCAGUAUUGUAUUCUUUGAUUGGAUAUUGACAAAUAUAGAAAAUCUCCUUCACUAAUGGAGGAAUGAUCCCUCCUUGGAUGUGUCUUAAUUUGAUAUAUAUAUAUAUACGAGAUCGAAUGUAAGAUAGUUAAAGAGAAAACUAACCAUAUAUAGAUAACCAUGAUAAUAAUAUAUUAUAUCAAAAAACUCAUAAUUUGAACUAUCAUAGAUUUUUUCAAUAUGAAAAAUAAAUUCACAAAACCUCAAGAAGACAACGAAAACAAAGUAAUUGUAUGCAUCCCAAAGUAUUUCUUGUUCUUCUUUCCCUGUUGAUUAAUUGAAAAAAAAAAAAUAGAACAGAAGGAGAAAGAAUUAGUGCUUGUUGAAAGUGGGUUUGAGUGUAGACGUAAUAAAGAAACGUGAGAGGAUUUUAAUGCUUGAAGUGGAGGUUAAUUUGUUUCCCUUAUUUUUCUCUUUUUGUUUAGUAAAAGUUCAUUUGCAGUUUUUAAAACAAAAAACAUUUUAAAGUUAUGCGGUUUUGUCAAUCAACUUAAUUUUUUAAUUAUAUUUUAAAACGGUAUGUAAAAAAAUCUGCAAUCAUUUUUAAAAAUACACAUACUAAAAAACUUAAAAAUAUUCUUUUUUUUUUCUUUCUAAUAGUUAAAUAUAUAUGAUAUAAUGUAUCUAUUAAAUUUUUCUUUGAUCAAACAAAAAGAUCUUGAGAUGCUUAACAACUACACUUUUUUUUUAGUUUAUUUUUUUUAAUUUAAGAAGUGUAAAAUUAGAUAACUGUCACAAUUCUUAAAAAGGUUAACAACCCACGUUUAUUUAUUUAUUUUUCCUUUCAAAACUGAAAACACUUUUAGAUUUUAUCAUUUAAAACUGUUGCCGAAAUUUAUUUAUUUAAAUAAAAAUAGAAAAAAUGAUACCGGGAAAAGAAUUUUAUGUGUGACUGUCAUUUGGAACAUUUCUGAAAAAAUAGUAAUAGUAUUAUUAUUAUUAUUAGUUAAGUUUGUAAUUUUUAUUUUUAUGUUAAUUUUAAAUUUGAAAUUAUUCCUUAAAAUUAUCCACUAAUUGAAUUGUUCCUUAAAACUAUCCUCUGACUAACGUGGAGCAGUUAUUUGUUUUUUUUUUUUAAAAAAAAAAUUAAAAUUAAUAAUCACACUCAUGUUCUGCAAUUUUUAUUUUUGGUUUUUCAGAUUUAGAUAGUUAAAGUUUUUAGUUAUUAUCUUAUAUAAAUUUUGAAAAUUAUAAAAUGAUUAUAUCACGUUAAUUUUAAGCAAUUCUUUAAUAAAUAAAUUUAAUAUUUUAAUUUCGAAUUUAAGAUAAUUACAAAAAGUUGAGUUUAUUAUUUAAUCCUAUUAGAUGUAAUUAGUAAUUUUAAUUAUUUAAAAAUCCUAUUUUUUGUGGUGCUGACAUGUGUCGUUCUAAGUCUAACUAUUGACAUAUGUCUAUAUUUAUUUAUUUAAUUAAUUAUUAUUGAUUAUUAAUUAUUUAAAAUACUGAAAAUUUGUGGUGUUGACAUGUGUUAUUUUUCUUCUCCUUUUAUAUAUAGAUAGAUUACUAACAUCUAUGGACUAUAAUCUUUAUUGGACUAUUAAGAAUUCUAACUUUCAGACAUGAAAUAAUAUAUUAAAAGAUAAUAACUAUGAAAAAGUAUAAGAAAUAUUUAAAAAUUAUAUCAAAGUAAAUAUCUUUACGUAUAAAAUAAAAUUUUAAAAUUAUAUAUAUAAUGUCAGGUUGGCUUGGUUUCGGGUUGGUUUUUUUUAGUUGAAAACAAACCAACCCAAAUAUAGUUGGAUUUUUUUUUUCCAACACCAAAUCAAGUCAAACCAAAUCACUAGUUGGGUUUUUUUUUCUAUUUGACUCGAUUUGUGGUUUGGUUCGAUUUUGUCCACCUCUAAUUUGAAUAAAUUUUAUUAUUCAGAAGCAUUGUGGAAGGGCAAAUUCACAAUUUGGCAUUUGGGCUUCGGUUUGAGGCAACUAAUUAAAGAUUACAGAUCCUUUGAAGUGUUAGUUUUGUGAGUUAAAUGAAUCUAAGGAUAAUUGGUAAUAAAGGGGUACCACGUAAAUGAGAUAACAAACAUUUAUGCCGAUACCGUGUAAAUGAGAUAAUGAGCAUUUAUAUGGAUACCAGAGUCAUGAAAUUGAUAGUACACCUUGAGUUGUGAGAUAACGGAAAUAUUGAGACUUUUGAAUUUGGUGAACUUGAUUACUUUUUGUGUGUUUAUAUUUUCUUCAUGAGCUCAUAUAUGUUGCGAUGCGAUGAAUAUAUUUGAUUGAAAUGAGAUGCAUCAUCUCCUAAUCAGUUGAUAUUAUAUUAUGCACAUGCAUGAAUAUAAGAUUGCAUAUGAGUAAGGCUUGAGCACGUCGAGAUAGUCCAUGUUGCAAUGGUUUUAUGUUUAUGAGUGGGGCACGUGCAUGGAGAUUGUUUGUGCCGGAGAUUGUUUGAUUUUGUGAUAGUACAUUGAGAUUAUCCACACAAGCACGUAUGGACCAUCUAUGCUGGUAUAUGGACCUUUGCGAGUCCCCUAUGGGUCCCGAUUAUCUGAUCGAGAAAGUUGAUGUGUAUAUAGGAUUUUGGCCAUUGUAUGGCAUUGCAUUUAGUAUUGAUUUGGUAUUGAGUUGUUGAGAUGGUUGUGGUACUGAUUUGACUUGAUCUAAUCCAAUCUAGCCAAUAACCUGACUAUUAACUCCUGAAGCAUCGGAGCGUUGUUGGGAACCAUAUGAGGUUGGGUUGGACCCCCUACCUCAGUCUACUGCUCAAUAACAUUAUCAUGCUCAAAUACGGGCUAAGGAGUUCAAUGAUAUCCAUAUUGAUAGGAUUGAAAUCGAGGGAAAAUAAUUCAAAAAUCGCUUCGGAAAUAAAAAGGGUAAAAUUAGAAUUUUAGUUGAAAAUCAAGUUCUACAAGCCAAAAGGAGUUCGUGGUUGAAAAACUCAUUUAAAACAAGCAAGAAUCGAGCUCUAAUAAAAAAAUUUACUACUUUUUCAACUUUAGGAGAAAAAACCCAAAACUCACAUUUGAAAUGCAAUCAAAAAUGAGAAAUUUCAGGAAAACUUUGUCAAAAUCAGUUUACCCACAAUACAAGGACCUUAGAUCUCGAAAAUCAAUUAAAACUCAUUCCAAAUCGACCUCCAAAUCAACAAUUUUGGAUUUCUCUACUUUGGGGUUUAAAAUCUCAACUUAAUGGAUAGAAAUCAUGAAAUAUGACAGAAGUCAAUUUCCUGAAAAAUGACUUUCAGGUUUCAGUUCUAGAGUGAGAAGUAUUUUUUGCAUCCCGUGUUUACACCAGAACAAAACAUUUAACCUUGGCAGUUAAAAAUUAUACUGAAAAAACUAAUAAUAAUGUGAAUGAGAGUCACUUGUGUGUUGCAUUUAUUGAUUUGGUGCAAACAUCCGAUACAGAAACCUAAUAUACAAAUUAUAAAGAAAGAAAAUCAUGACAGUUACCUCCCUGUAACAAGUUCUUUUAAAGUAUAUUUACAGAAUCCAUAACCUAUUGAUUACACAUAUACACAAGGCAAUACAGAUUGUGAUGCUAACUGGCUUGACAGUUCAUAUUUGGAUCAUCAACUGUGUUAAAGUACAAUGUAGAAAGUUUGUCAUCAAAUUUGGAAAUUAGUUGAUGGACAGACAAUCCGCAGUACCGCUUCCCUAGUCUAGCGAUGAAAAUGUCAAUUAUUUUCUUGAACAUGUCGUCUUCUUGGAUUAGAGGUUGCUCCACAAACUCAACUAGAGGCAUCCACUGCAUUGCAAAAAGAAAAGGUAGCUCAAGUAAAUGCUAAGUCGCAUAAAGCUGCAGACUUUAAGUCUAACUCAACCUCAAACGCUAGCUCAUCAGGUGAGUAUUACACAUUACGAUAUGCUUACCUUAGCAUCCUGAAUUUCUAGAUCAUCAACCAUGAUCUGUUUUGACAGGGGUCUUAACAGGCAGACGAAGAACAAAUCUGACUUUUGAAAGGCCACAUCGUGAACAUGCCUGAAGAAGGACAUCGAUAAAUGUUAAUUUAAAUAGGCAAAAUACAUAUAUUGGACCCUAAACUUGGCUUCAAAUUUUAACUUUGACCUCCAACUUUCAUAGUGCACAAAUAGACACUUUAACUUGUAUAAAAUAGAACAAAUAGACACACAUGUCCUACAUGGCAUCCUACAUGUCAUUUUUUGUCCUACGUGGUGUCCUACGUGUAUUGUGCCAUGUAGGACUCGUGUGUUUACUUGUUCUACUUUAUACAAGUUAAAGUGCCUAUUUGUGCACUAUGAAAGUUGGAGGUCAAAGUUAAAAUUUGAAGCCAAGUUUAGGGUCCAAUAUAUGUAUCUUGUUUGUAAACUGUAAAAUCAACAAUUAGAGUCCAAAGUUUAACGACUGUGUACAUAGCAUGAGUUAGAGCAUGAAACUGAAUAAAACUUGAAAUAUCCUAAAGAUGACAGUAAAAUCAAGAAAAUAGAAACUCUACAUUCUCUGUGUCUGAGCCAAGUUACUCGGAUACUUAUGGUAUCAGCAUUUUGUGUUCUUAUACGAUUUCUAAUAUAGCUCUUCCUAUCGAUAAAAAAGGUGUAAAAUAAAUCGCUGUCCAUUAUGAUAAACUCAUGGUUCUUUGAAGAGGGAGAAUUUUUUUACCUGAAAGCCAUAACCUCCACAAAUUCAGUAUCAAUCUGGAAAAAGUAAUGCGAACAAAAAAACAUCGUUUAGAUAACGAUUGGUCGUUAUGUGUUGCUAAUUUAGGAAGGCGAUACGUUUAAGUGAAAAUUGCUUACGCCAGUUUCCUCCUGCACUUCUCUCACAAUUCCUGUAAAGAGCUCCUCGGACUGAGUUUGACGCAAAAACUAAACUAAGUAUACAGUUCAAUCUUUAACUAAAUCAAAAGAACCAAAAUGGUAAGGUGAAAUUGCAAUAGAGGAACAUACCUCAUGAAUAAAACCAGUUGGUAUUUUCCAUAAGCCUGAAAGAGCCGGCGUAAAAUGUUUCUCUUGCACGACAAGCACCUAAAGCAAGAAUUUAUUAGCCUAAGAGACUACACAAAGAAUUUAGAAGCUCACAAACAUUACUACUAAUUAGGAAGGCAUUGCAAACAGAAAAACACACACCUCAUUUUUAUCGUUGAUCACAAAACCCCCAACUCCAACUUGAUGUGAUGCAUUCGAAGGAAGCAUACAGGGUUCCUCCGGAAUCCAGUAAGUCAUCAUAACAUAUCCUCUUUCUGCAUGAUGGUAUUGAAAUCCUUCCUACAAAAUUUGAGUUCGAUUGUUACAAAAUCACUAGAGCUGUAUAUUAUUGUGUAUUAAGAUACCAUAGUUAGCUUAUUCUCUCCAUGAGACAGUCACUACUAGCCAGAGAUAACAAAGAAAAGUUAAACGAUUGAGUAAUUUCCUGUAUCGAUUUGGGUAAAGUGAUAGUACGAAAUACCUUUACUACAAUGCAUCAACAAAAAGGAAAUACCUUUACUGCAACAGGAACUAGAUCACAUUUUUCCAAUGGUAGCUUAAGCCAAACUCCCUUCUUCCCCUGCAUCAUCGGGAGCCAUCAGUGAGCAAAAGGUGUUAUAAAAGUUUACUUUCAAUACACCAAAAAUUACCACGCCUCAGUCCUAAACAAAUUGGGGUUCCAUCUAUAUGAAUUCACCAGGCUAUGAAAAGUACAAGUUCACUUGUCUAUAAAAUAAUAAGAAAAAAUAUGAAAUGCGGUGGCUUUCACUCGUGUAUUAAUCAACACCAGACAAGAAAUCGAGUCUUGAAAUUUGAGACUAGUGUAGUAUAGUAGUUGCUGGAAAUGAAGUACCUUCACUUUCCAAUGAGAGAGAGAUGCACGAAGCACAAAGGUAAAUUUGUCGGGAUCAGAUGGUAGUCUAUCUGCAUUGACGAGUACUCCUCCAUAUUCAUCGUCAGAGGCAUCAAGCAACCAUUUAUCUCUAAAAUACAAACUUGUAUGGUUUGUACCGUUUAUCUUAUAAGAGAAAGUGUCCUCUAAGAAAUUCUUCUUGCUGACUGAUCUUGUAACAUCAUAAGAAGUGCUUGAAUAAGAAGCCUUUGUUAAC